AUGUGGUCUAGCAAGCAAUCGACGCGGAUACUAACGAUUCUUUAGCUUGAAUAAACUUAUAUGGACGAUAUUUAAGCGAUAAAUUAUAGUGCCUUGCGGGCGUUCAAAACAUAAUAAGAGAUAUCCGUCGUUUUAUAUUUUUUUAUACUAUGGGGGUGGCUGUCUUCACGCUAGCCACCCCAAAUCACUUUUUGUAAUUUUUUUUGGUCUAGAUAGCAAGACAUUCGUUAGUUCACGUUUGUUCAGGCAUUUAAAUCGUUAGGACCCGAUUCCUUCAUUUUUUUUUUUUUUUUCAAAGUUGAUUUGGGGUGGCUAGCGUGAAGACAGCCACCCCCAUAGUAUAAAAAAAAUAUAAAACGACGGAUAUCUCUUAUUAUGUUUUGAACGCCCGCAAGGCACUAUAAUUUAUCGCUUAAAUAUCGUCCAUAUAAGUUUAUUCAAGCUAAAGAAUCGUUAGUAUCCGCGUCGAUUGCUUGCUAGACCACAUUACUUGGCUCCGCUGUCCCAUAUAUAUGAAUUUUUCGAUUUUAUUUUUUUAUGGCAAAUCUAAUGAGAUCCUAACGAUUUUAAUGCCUGAACAAACGUGAACUAACGUCGCUCGAUGAGUUCACAUGGUUAGUUUGGCUGAUUUCUGGGUGGGGUGGCUAGCGUGAAGACAGCCACCCCACUUUGAAAAAAUAAAAAAAAAUGAAGGAAUCGGGUCCUAACGAUUUAAAUGCCUGAACAAACGUGAACUAACGAAUGUCUUGCUAUCUAGACCAAAAAAAAUUACAAAAAGUGAUUUGGGGUGGCUAGCGUGAAGACAGCCACCCC